UACAGAGGUCUCAAGCGUUGUUCGGAUUCAUUGGGCGUAAAGGGCGCGUAGGCUGCGGGGCAAGUCGGGUGUGAAAUCUCAGAGCUCAACUCUGAAACUGCACUCGAUACUGCUUUGCUUGAGGACUGGAGAGGAGAUUGGAAUUCACGGUGUAGCAGUGAAAUGCGUAGAUAUCGGGAGGAACACCUGUGGCGAAGGCGGCCCCCUGGUCGGAUACUGACGCUGAGACGCGAAAGCGUGGGGAGCAAACAGGAUUGAGAUACC
rnacentral:rRNA from 1 species